rnacentral:rRNA from 1 species
CGCCUAACACAUGCAAGUCGAACGAAGUAGCAAUACUUAGUGGCAGACGGGUGAGUAACAUGUAGGUAUCUUCCCUUUGGCCUGGAAUAACACGAGGAAACUUGUGCUAAUACCGGAUAAGUCUUCACAGAGAAAGCUUUAUGCACCAUUGGAUGAGCCUGCACUUGAUUAGUUUGUUGGAAGGGUAAUGGCCUACCAAGACUAUGAUCAAUAGCUGAUUUGAGAGGAUGAUCAGCCACAUUGGGACUGAGACACGGCCCAAACUCCUACGGGAGGCAGCAGUGGGGAAUCUUGCACAAUGGAGGAAACUCUGAUGCAGCGAUGCCGCGUGAGUGAAGAAGGCCCUUGGGUUGUAAAGCUCUUUCGUCGGGGAAGAAAAUGACUGUACCCGAAUAAGAAGGUCCGGCUAACUUCGUGCCAGCAGCCGCGGUAAUACGAAGGGACCUAGCGUAGUUCGGAAUUACUGGGCUUAAAGAGUUCGUAGGUGGUUGAAAAAGUUGGUGGUGAAAUCCCAGAGCUUAACUCUGGAACUGCCAUCAAAACUUUUCAGCUAGAGUUUGAUAGAGGAAAGCAGAAUUUCUAGUGUAGAGGUGAAAUUCGUAGAUAUUAGAAAGAAUACCAAUUGCGAAGGCAGCUUUCUGGAUCAAUACUGACACUGAGGAACGAAAGCAUGGGUAGCGAAGAGGAUUAGAUACCCUCGUAGUCCAUGCCGUAAACGAUGUGUGUUAGACGUUGGAAAUUUAUUUUCAGUGUCGCAGCGAAAGCGAUAAACACACCGCCUGGGGAGUACGACCGC